rnacentral:misc_RNA from 1 species
AUUUUAUUUUAACAAAUUGAAAUUAAGUGACUGAAAUGAAAUAAUCACUUAAGUUGAGAGACGAUCGGUACAAUUAUCUGCUUGGGUAUUAUUAAUGACUUAAAAGUUGUUUGUUUUUCAAAGGAAUAGAAGUAGAGCAACAAAGUUUUCCAUUUGAGACUGAAAAUUGUCGCAAAUUUUAUUGAUUCCUUUUGCACUAUUUUAUAUAAUAGCAUUACUUACUAAAAUCUCCUAAACAUUACAAAUUUAAAAUUCAAAAGAUAAAAAAAAAUUCAAAAAAUGUGGUAGAAGAUGUUAGCAAUAACUUUUCUAUUUUGUUGAAAAUAAGUUUUAUCUUCUUAUAACUUUCUAUUUGCAAUAGAUGAGGCAUCAUGCAACAAAAAUGUUAUACUUAAUUGCCUUUGGUAUGUACUCAAAGGGUUAUUUUUGCACAAUGUCCAUCAGUUUUAAGGAUUAUUUCAUUUCCACCUCUUAACUUUAAUUUGUUUAGAAAAAGUCUUGAAAUUUUAAUUUUAUUUUUCAAAAAGUUCUCCUGACCUGCAAUAGCAAGUUUUAAAGUAAAAAAAGAAAAGAAGAGAAAUUAU